CUUUCUUCCUUUUGGUGCGAGCUUGCUGUGGUUUUUGCUCUGGGUCCUCUGGGAUGGCGCCUGGCUGUGGCCGCGUGGUCUCUCACGCAGGGGCGCCGGGCGGGGGAACGCGGCCACCCUGAGUCUGGUGAGUCGACUGCGGCGGCCUGUGUCCGAAGUGUCCGGGGCCGUGAACAAGGGCAGCGGCCUGGCCUCAGGCCUGCGUUCCCACGUUUGGAAACGGGGAGCUUCGUCGAUUUGUGUUUACAUCAUCGACUAUGCCAGGGAGUUCUCCAGAUAAGCCUGGUUUUAUUUUCGUCAGUGAAAAGGCCUUACCGUAUAACUGACUUUAUGCUUGCCCUGCCCCCGUAUAAAAUAACUUAAAAGCAGCGUGCCUGGUUACAGCUGUUUCCACGUGCGGUGCUCGUCGGGAGUGAUCACCUACCCUACAGGAUGUCCUUGGUGAGGAUUUUGAAAAUUUGAUCUUCACAAGAGUUGCCUGGAUCAUUUGAAAUUUCUGGGAGUCUGAGGAGUACUGACAUAAUUACCUGCUGGAGUCUGUAAAUACACAUUUAAGACAGUGAGGAUGUGAAUAAAUAUAUUAAUGCACUUUGGCAUUUGUGUUU
ensembl:lncRNA EPB41L4A-AS1 EPB41L4A antisense RNA 1